rnacentral:rRNA from 1 species
AGUGAACGCUGGCGGUAGGCCUAACACAUGCAAGUCGAACGGCAGCACAGUAAGAGCUUGCUCUUACGGGUGGCGAGUGGCGUACGGGUGAGGAAUACAUCGGAAUCUACUUUUUCGUGGGGGAUAACGUAGGGAAACUUACGCUAAUACCGCAUACGACCUACGGGUGAAAGCAGGGGAUCUUCGGACCUUGCGCGAUUGAAUGAGCCGAUGUCGGAUUAGCUAGUUGGCGGGGUAAAGGCCCACCAAGGCGACGAUCCGUAGCUGGUCUGAGAGGAUGAUCAGCCACACUGGGACGGAGACACGGCACAGACUCAUACGGGAGGCAGCAGUGGGGCAUCUUGGACCAUGGGUGCAAGACUGAUCCAGCCAUACCGCGUGGGUGAAGAAGGCCUUCGGGUUGUAAAGCACUUUUGUUGGGAAAGAAAAGCAGCAGGUUAAUAACCAGCUGUUCUGAAGGUAACCAAAGAAUAAGCACCGGCUAAACUCGUGC